AAAAAAAUAGAUGUGUUGAUUUUAAUGAUAAAAUUAGUAUCAUUUACUUAAAUACCAUUAUUUAUUAUAGAUAUUGAAGUAGUUGAAAAACAGUGAAAAUUAGUAAAUAGAGUUAUAUUAGUGAAAAAAAUAAUAAAUGUUGUAUUAAUAUUUUAAAGAGACAUUUAUUUGAAGACAUGAAAAAAUACAAAAAAGAUACUUUUCAUGAGACGUAGUGAAUAGUUGUUUGAAUCAUUAUUUAUGGAUACAUAAAUAGUAUUGUUG
rnacentral:lncRNA from 1 species